AGAGUUUGAUCAUGGCUCAGAUUGAACGCUGGCGGCAGGCCUUACACAUGCAAGUCGAACGGCAGCACGGGGGCAACCCUGGUGGCGAGUGGCGAACGGGUGAGUAACACAUCGGAACGUACCCUAUCGUGGGGGAUAACCAGUCGAAAGAUUGGCUAAUACCGCAUGACCUGGAGACAGUAAAGCGGGGGACCGGCAACGGCCUCGCGCGAUUGGAGCGGCCGAUGUCCGAUUAGCUAGUUGGUGGGGUAAAGGCUCACCAAGGCGACGAUCGGUAGCUGGUCUGAGAGGAUGAUCAGCCACACUGGGACUGAGACACGGCCCAGACUCCUACGGGAGGCAGCAGUGGGGAAUUUUGGACAAUGGGGGCAACCCUGAUCCAGCCAUGCCGCGUGAGUGAAGAAGGCCUUCGGGUUGUAAAGCUCUUUCGGUAGGAACGAAACGGUUACGGUCAAUACCCGUGACUACUGACGGUACUUACAGGAGAAGCACCGGCUAACUACGUGCCAGCAGCCGCGGUAAUACGUAGGGUGCGAGCGUUAAUCGGAAUUACUGGGCGUAAAGCGUGCGCAGGCGGUCUCGUAAGCUGGGUGUGAAAGCCCCGGGCUUAACCUGGGAAUGGCAUUCAGGACUGCGAGGCUCGAGUGUGGCAGAGGGAGGUGGAAUUCCACGUGUAGCAGUGAAAUGCGUAGAGAUGUGGAGGAACACCGAUGGCGAAGGCAGCCUCCUGGGCCAGCACUGACGCUCAAGCACGAAAGCGUGGGGAGCAAACAGGAUUAGAUACCCCCGUAGUCC
rnacentral:rRNA from 1 species